rnacentral:lncRNA from 1 species
GUACAAAGUUUGCCAAAUUACAAUGAAGAAUAUGUCUGAAAACUACUUGCUAUAUAAGAAUAUUAAUAUUUGGAUUAUCUGUUUCAGGUAUUUGAUACUACUUCACUCUCUGAAAAGGAAUCAAACCUACCUUAGAAAUGUCAUGCUUCGGCCAGUACAGACUGCAAUGCAGAGGCUCAAGAUGACCUUCAAGCUACAAAUGAGACUCGAGUACAAAACAAAGAAAUGAAGAUGUGUAAGACAAUACCUACAUUCUUCCUGCUGUUUACAGGAUAUUGUGUUAAAAAUAUGCGUGUUGCUGCAGAAGGGACAGAAGUCACAUCACUGUCACCUUUUACCUCACAAUCUCCUCAACAAGCAACAACAGGCUCAGGAAGUGCCACUUCCUCAACAGCAAUAAGUCGUGCAUCUCUGUUAGUGGCAGGACUUGGCAUUUUCUUUAUAAUGUUCUUAAUUUGUAUAAUUAUUGGUGUUUGGAAUGCACGAAAAUCAUCGAAGGAUUCAUUUCAGGUUACUUCUGCCCCAUCCAGUGAAGCUUAGGUGACCUUAAGAACAUCAAGACAUGAGAACCAAUGAGAAAAGAAGAAAUGAAAGUCCUAUU